rnacentral:ncRNA from 2 species
AAAUCAUCAAGAGUGGUGGAGGGAAUCGGCCCUAUGAAACCACAGCAACCGCUUAAGGUCAGCCUAGAUCUAAGGAAGGUGCUAAAUCCGACCGCUUCAAUUUUAACAGGAGCGGAAGAUGUCCA